rnacentral:rRNA from 1 species
ACAGUUCGGUCCCUAUCUGCCGUGGGCGUGGAGAAUUGAAAGGGGCUGCUCCUAGUACAAAGGGACCGGAGUGGACGCAUCACUGGUGUACCAGUUGUCUCGCCAGAGGCACUGCUGGGUAGCUACAUGCGAAAGAGAUAAGUGCUGAAAGCAUCUAAGCACGAAACUUGCCUUAAGAUGAGUUCUCCCAGUCUAUAAGACUGUAAGGGUUGUUGGAGACUAUCUCCGUUAAGUGUGUGGAAUUGUGAGCGUAGUGAUACGUUGAGCUAACGCAUACUAAUUGCCCGAGAGGCUUAACUAU